AGUGAACGCUGGCGGUAGGCCUAACACAUGCAAGUCGAACGGCAGCACAGUAAGAGCUUGCUCUUACGGGUGGCGAGUGGCGGACGGGUGAGGAAUACAUCGGAAUCUACUUUUUCGUGGGGGAUAACGUAGGGAAACUUACGCUAAUACCGCAUACGACCUACGGGUGAAAGCAGGGGAUCUUCGGACCUUGCGCGAUUGAAUGAGCCGAUGUCGGAUUAGCUAGUUGGCGGGGUAAAGGCCCACCAAGGCGACGAUCCGUAGCUGGUCUGAGAGGAUGAUCAGCCACACUGGAACUGAGACACGGUCCAGACUACUACGGGAGGCAGCAGUGGGGAAUAUUGGACAAUGGGCGCAAGCCUGAUCCAGCCAUACCGCGUGGGUGAAGAUGGCCUUCGGGUUGUAAAGCCCUUUUGUUGGGAAAGAAAAGCAGCAGGUUAAUACCCCGCUGUUCUGACGGUACCCAAAGAAUAAGCACCGGCUAACUUCGUG
rnacentral:rRNA from 1 species